rnacentral:miRNA from 1 species
AAUGCUUAUAUGUAUGUGUGUGUGUAUGUGUGUGUGUGUGUGUGUAUAUAUAUAUAUAUAUAUAUAUACACACACACACACACACACAUAUACAUAUAUAUAUACAUA